rnacentral:lncRNA from 1 species
UUACACAAUAGUUUAAGACUUUGUUCGGAUGGAUUUGAUUCGUUUCGAACUUGGAAUUUGAUCCAAAAUUUGUUCCGGACUCGGGAUUUGACUUCAGUUGUUUCAUAUGAUAUCAAAGUCGACUAUCGAAAGCUCGGGUCUGGUCAUCCGAUCUAAUUGUCGGAGGUGUGGACACAAAGGCUAGUAUUAUUAUCCCAUAAUAGAGAGAUAGAGG